GCACUGCUGAAGAGUCCCACAAUAGGACGAAAUGGCCGUACAGAGC
rnacentral:hammerhead_ribozyme from 1 species